UAUAAACGGAGGUCGGAGCCAGCUCCAAAUGGGCGGGUCAGCUCCAAAUGGGUGGGACUUCAGCUCCAAGUGGGCUGUACAAACCUCCAGAGCCUUUUGAUUGGUUUAUUUAAUGUCAUGGGGUUAAUGCACGCUGCGAACCCCCCCACACACACAAAAAAGAAAAAAAAGACGACGUCAACUUCCCAAGGCUUUUCAGCGUCAAGAAAGAGGAGUUUGAAGGGAUUACGGACACUGAAGACUAUAAGCAGAAAGUUCAAGUCUGGGUGGCCAAAAGUUACAUUUCAGUGAUCUGGUUACCACCUCUCUCUGCAAACCCAAAGGAUCACUUUCCUCAGCGGAUCUACCCCAAUCAUCAUUAACGGGACCACAGUGGAGAGAGUGAGCACCUUCAAAUACCUUCAAAUGCCCUGCAAAGAGUAGCUGAACACGUCUAGAACAUCUCUCUCCUCUCUGCAAGACAUCCAAACCAGGAGAUGUAAAUCUAGGGCUGUUAAGAUCCUUAAUCAUCCUCACUGCACAUUGUUU